CUCUGCCUACUUAAGCCAGCUUCUCUAAGGGAGGUAGCGGGUACACCUCGCUGUCCAGCCAGCCGCCACUGGACCUUCCCUAUGAGAAAGUGCAAGUCUCUGUAAUUACAGCUUGGAUCCAAACUGCCAUGAUUGCAGAUCCUGCAUCACAGGAGUUUCCUAAGCUCAGAACUCACACUCUCACUCAGGAAGGAGGUGUACUGGUCAGGAGGACCCUGGUCAUGCUGCAUAAUAGGCAGCCCACUGCGUAAGUGGUUUGAAACAGCGGAGUUUGUUUCACUCGUGUGACGCGUUCAGUGAGGGUCAGCAGGGGCUGUGCCAUGUCCUCAUUGUCCUCACUCUAGGGCCCAGGCUGACGGAGCCCCUGAAUCUCGCCAGUGGCUGUGCAGAGGGAAAAGAGAUUAUGGCAAGAAACCUGCAGACUCUUCAAGCUCUCACCCCAGGGACACACAUCACUCCUGCUCACAGUUCAUUGGCCAGAGCUGGUCAGCGACCUCAGGCCAAUCAGUGAGAAGGCAGCCUCCUCUCACAGGGGAGGCUCAGAAUGUCUGUGAACUUACCCAGUGUGCCACAGAUGACAAACCCGACUCAGCUGUGGGAAAAACGGGGGUGCAGAGAAAUUUGCUGACUUCUCUGGGAACAGCCAGCAGCACAGCCAGGACUGGAACACAGGCGUCUCCCCAGGGGCAGUGCAGGCCCACCGUGUCACUCUCUUCACCCCGUCCGUGCAGGUGGCUGGUAAUGUGGCUUUCCCGGCCACUCACCUGGUCUGUUCACAUGCUGCUUUCUAAGGACGCCACGCCCACACACACCCUCAAGCUCAGGGUUCCCUCGUCUGGCCAUCAGUUUCUGUAAGACCUCCAGACGGGUCAGCAGGUGGGGCCUUUAUUUCAAUGAUCUAAUCACUCUUACUCUUGAAAACUCAUGGAGCCCAAGAGGAGCCCUGCAAGGAAGGGCCAGCAGCCCAUGGGAGCAGGACCCAGGGCUGGAGGCGAGGCAGUAGGCAGCCUUGGGGAUAGGGUUAUCUGUUUCGGAGAAGAGGAAGGCGAAAAAAGGCAGGGACCGAUGGCCUGCCUUGGUCUGAUCACUGUCAAUCUUCAUAAUUCCGGGGACCAGAGUGUUAUUCUUGGAGGCAGAGCCGACUGACCUUCUUGGGGCCAAUAUCACCAGGCACCAGGAUGGCUAAAAGGCUGAAUUCUGUGGGACCUUCACCCACACACAUGCACAGGUAUGACUGUGACCCCUCUCUCAAGUCUAGCCUGCUCAGUUAUAUAUGUCGAGGUCAAUGUCGACCCUCAUGACCCAGCUGCUUGCAUAUUGGGGUAAAGGGUAUUGGUGCCAUGCACACUGCUACCUCCCGUUACUGACGGCUGGAUAGAAUCUGCUGAGGGGCCCGUUGUUACAGCCUGCAGGACUAGAAGCAGGAUUUGUGUGUAGAAACUGUUUGUUUCAGUUUCUUUUUUCUCAGGUCCGCAAAGCCUGAGGUUUUUGGCUCUGAAAAUAACGACAACUAGAAAUGUGAUUGGAAAAUUCAAAUUCUGUUCUGGUCGAGGAUUUAGUUUAUAAUUAGUUCUGGGUACCCGUGGCUAGGUCCGAAGAAUGAAACCCUGCAUUGCAUUUAGAGAUGUAUUGCCGCAGAGCAUAAACCACCUCACCAGUCAUCCUAGAGUGGCAGACGCUGUCCCAUCAGCAGACCCAGAGCACUGACACAUCCACCUUGAGUCUGGAAGAACAUGCAGCUCCUGUCUCCAUUGCUGGGACAUUCUGGCUGCUUUGCUCACGAGGUACACCCCACAUGUAGCAUGAAGGGGAAUCAUACUUAGUGAGCCACCAAUACCCCAUAAACUGGUGAAGCCUGGUUAACUGGUGAACUCUGCCAAGGGCAACGGCAGGCUGAGCAGGUGCUGCAGGUGGCACUGCCAGGACAUCCCCGCUACUAAAGGAGCAGGUGACAAGCAUUCUUGGAGAUGACCAGUGCACAUCAAACAAUUCUCUCUUCUGGCUUUGUGAAACAAACCCCGUCCUGCCAGGCUGUGGGAUGUAUUCAAAACCCAGUCGUUCGCACUGGGAGGAAGAAGUGCUGGUCUUUGUUCUGCUCCUCUGAUGGGACUCUCUCCACAGUUGCGACAGCAGUGGGUUGAGCAGCAUCAAUCUGUGUGUUACAAAAGAAGCUAAGGCCUCCCAGAGGCAGCUGGUCAUUCAUCCCCGACACACGCUCCUCGGUUGCAGGGUUUGACAUGGAGAACAGUAUCGCUGAGAGCCCAAAUCACCAGCCUGAGCCACGGGGGAGUCAGCUGACAACAUCUCUGUUCACCCCGUCACGGUGCAGCAUCUGUCAGCCUGUGUCACCACAGCUCAAGACAACGCUGGGUCUCCUAGGUUCUCGGAACCCUUCCCCGAAAACAGUGCGAAGGCUCCAGGUGACUGAACGCAGGUACAGCUGACCCACCAACACUCAACCACCCCGUGACUCCACCGGUAACCAGCCACCGCCCACACACCUGCUCUGAGCCCAGCACCAGGGGCUGUGCACACAGCGCUGCUAAUAGUCAAGAGAACCCCACAACAGGAGAUGUAUGUUUGCGCUGAAUGUUUGUAUCCCCCAAAAUUCCUAUGUUGAAUCCUAACGCCCAAGAGGAUGGUGUUAAGAGGUGGGGCCUCUGGGGUCACUGCGUCAUGAGAGUGGAGCCUUCAUGAAUGGGAUUAGUGUCCUUGUAAACGAGACCCCAGAGAGCUCUCACCCCAUCUCCACCAUGUGAGGACACAGUGAGGAGACUGUCGUCGGCACCCUGAGAGAGUGAUCUCCCCAGAACCCCACCAUGCCAGCACCCCGAUCUCAGACUUCCAGUCUCCAGAACUGUGCUGAAUGUAUUUCCAUUGUUUAUAAGCCGCCCAGUCAUGGUAUUUUUGUCAUAGCAGCCUGAACAAAGACAGUAGUAGAGAAACUGGGGCUCAGAAAGUUGAAAUAACAGGCCCAAAAUCACACGGCAGGGCUCCUGUGUUGGGAUUUGAAAGCGAGUCUAUUCAAGGCCCAGAUUCUGCAAUGUCCUCAUCCUCCCUCCCUCUCUUCCUGUCUCUCUCCAUUGGGUGAUCAGGGAGAUUACAAGAAGAAAAAUUUAAGAGGUUGAAGGUCCUGGGAGAAUCGAGGCCCUGGUACAGGCUGCAGGGUGCCAAGUUGACUCCCUCGUCCUGGAUUCCCAACUCCUUCAAUCGGGGGCUCUGAGCGGCAGGUACCAACAUCUACCUGAGGUUCAGAGCCUGGACCCCAACACCAUCCACUCUUAUCCAGGCGCCGCUCCAGCUCCCUGUGGAUUUGACCCUGUCCCUCUGCAGCUGCGUCAUCAGGGGCCACACUGGUAAAGCCUCACUCCCAUUGCCCUGUUGUCUCCCCAGAGUCAUGAGAGAUGCCCCAGUGCUGCCGUCCUGUUACCAGACCAAACAUAGGCCCUUCUGGGGGAGUUAAAUCAAAUUGCACCAGAAGAAGUUGUCUCACAAAGCAGAAAUUUUAUUUGCAGCAUGCAGCAAAGAAAAUGGAGACCAUCGGGAAUAAUUUCACAAAGCUAUGCACCCCGAGCACAGGGAGGGGCUUAUCUCUAUUUGGGUGGGUAAUGAACAUUCAAAGGGGAAGUGUCAUCAUCGCAUGGAGAGGUGAGCACAAGCAUGGAUUGACAUCACACUUCUACAUACGCCGCAUGACCUAAAAAUGGCUGCUCUGCCCCCCACAGAAGAGGGGAUCCAUGACACAAAUGAGGGCAGGUUACUUUAGCCCAGCUCGCUGCCCACCUGUGCAGACGUCAGCCUCAUGUCGAGGUCUGGACUGCUCUGGUCCCAUUCAGAUUGGCAGGGUCCAGGGCGGUUGUGGCUUAGAGCUUCUUCCUGGAACAGCUGAAAACUGCGUAAGUUCAAGGCCCCAAGGAGUUAGAUAAAGGAACACUUUCCCCUUGCAAGAAGACGAGAGAAUUAGGUCAAACACAGAGGUUAGAGUUUGGGCAGGACGAGAGAAGUGGAUAGGGUCCAUGUCUGGUGACAAUCCUUCCCUCAGAACCACUUCCUUCUCCUCCAGGGCCUUCGUCACCCUGUCUAGCAGGUGAUAGACCAUGAUGGGAGGACAAUUUCCUUAUAGGAAACAUCUGGUGGGGGAGGGGAGUGGUCUCUGCCUGUAGAUUUCUUCCCCCCUUUUUGCCUGCAGGAAAAAUAACUGAGUUAUCUUCUGCAAACCCCGAGCUUCCUGCCACACUUCAUUCUGGUCCCUGAGGAUGUAGCUGGAAGUGUCAGCUACAGUCCCUGGCCUGUGGCUAUAUUUGUGGGUGGAAUCUGUGCUCUUCCCUUCUACUGCCCCUUAUUACAUUAUGCACAUUUCUUGGAGAUUUUCUUUACACUUGAGUCUUUAGGUUACCAGAAGCUGAGGAAUGUUUAACAUCAGCCCAGAGAUGGACAGUGUACCCUUCUCCCAGAGAUGAGCACAAAGACCUACGGGGCUUGGGUCUCCUCAAUGUGGGCAAGAUGAGAAUGCCUGUGUUUGUAUGGGCAGUUAGAAUUUGUUAGGGGGAAACAUAGACUGGGUUUGCACAGUAUGGAAGCGCCUGUGUAAGAGCUGUGUAUGGCUGCACGGCAGCCAUAGGGCUGCGCUGUGCUGGCAAUCACGCUGUUCUCCCCCAGCUGCAAACCCACUCUCCUAUCCUCUGGUGAUGCUGCAGCCCAGACUUUACAAACCACAUUUCUGAUUCUCCAGCUGGCUCUGUGUUAGGCUGUGCCAAGAAGAGAUGCCAGUGGGAGGCUGCUGGGCUGGCGGACGAGGACAGAGACAGCUCUGUCCUAUAGGCUGCUGAUUUUAUAGGCUAGUGUAGCUCCUGAGAACACCACACUAGGAAUAUGUUUUCACCUUGCAGGCCGGGGAAGUGCCUUCCUGUAAAUGAAUCCAGUUUGCAGCUCUUCCCAGACCAGCAGGAUCAGCCCAUCUCACACAGCACUCUCUCCUCACAUCUCUGGGUAGCAGCCCCUGGACCCUCCUCCAGCUCAGAGACUCUAGCACCAGCCGGCCAGCACCCACUCCCCUCCGCCCCCAAGCUCUGCAGGCACCCACCUUCUCGUUCUAAGUUUCAGUGAUCCCCGCCUCUUCUCUUCUCCUGCUGUGGCAGUUGCUUCUGCAGUCACUCCCUCUGUGAUACCUCAGCGGCUUCCAUUUAUCAGUCACCCAGUUAACGGCUCUAUAUUAAACUAUCUCUGCUUAGCAGCUGGUGCUUCCUAACCACCUGGCGUACAGCCUUUAUAAAAUUACACCUGCUAAGAGGGGCGGAGUCUGUGGGUCGGAGCGCUAUCUGACCCACAGGCUCUGGGAGUGCUGGCACCUCGGAGAAGUGACACAGACUUUCUGUUCCUCCGUGUUCUAGUCCAGGAGGUUAAUAUCCACUUCACAGGGCUGUUCUGAGGAUUAAGGCAGUUAAAAACACCGAGUACCAAGAACGUCUUCCAGAACAUGGAGGGCGUGACACAAACAUUAGCUGCCAUGACUAUUAUUAUUACUACUAUUGUUAUGAAAAUGCAGAAGAGUACUCUUCAAAAGGUAAUAAAUAUCCCCAAAUCUUACCUCCUAAUAAUAACCAUUAUUAAUAUUAUAUUAACAUUGAUGCAGAUUUUUCUACCUGUACAGCUAGAAUAGAAACAAUGAGUACAGGGGAAUAACGUUUUACUCUAAUGGAAUCAUAAUACACAUUACCAUUUAAUAAGUGUAUUAAGUUUCAUUUUACUAGAAUUAAACAAAAAAAAAGUAAAACUGAGGAAAUUCUUGAUUUUUAAAUAAGUAUCUCUUUUCUUUAUAUUUUAUUGCACACAA